UGCUCAGCAAUUCCUAUCCCUACAUUGGCGUGGUACCGGCUGGAAACUACGAGCAACCUUAGGGAAGAUCUUGUAACCAACUCCGGUGGGAAAUUUUGUCGUAGGCUGACAGGGGAGG
rnacentral:ribozyme from 1 species